GCCGGGCGUGGUGGCUCACGCCUGUAAUCCCAGCACUUUGGGAGGCUGAGGUGGGCGGAUCACCUGAGGUCAGGAGUUUGAGACCAGCCUGGCCAACAUGGUGAAACCCCAUCUCUA
rnacentral:SRP_RNA from 1 species